AUUGAACGCUGGCGGCAGGCCUAACACAUGCAAGUCGAACGAGUGGCGGACGGGUGAGUAAUGUCUGGGAAACUGUCUGAUGGAGGGGGAUAACUACUGGAACCGGUAGCUAAUACCGCAUAACAUCAGAUGUGCCCAGAUGGGAUUCGCUUGUUGGUGGGGUAACGGCUCACAAAGGCGACGAUCCCUAGCUGGUCUGAGAGGAUGACCAGCCACACUGGAACUGAAACACGGUCCAGACUCCGACGGGAGGCAGCGGGGGGAAAUAUUGCACAAUGGGCGAAAGCCGGAUGCAGCCAGGCCGCGUGUAGGAAGAAGGCCUUGGGGUUGUAAAGUACUUUCAGCGGGGAGGCGUUACCCGCAGAAGAAGCACCGGCUAACUCCGUGCCAGCAGCCGCGGUAAUUC
rnacentral:rRNA from 1 species